rnacentral:rRNA from 2 species
UUUAACUGGGAGGGGAGGUGGGGAUGACGUCAAAUCAUCAUGCCCCUUAUGACCUGGGCUACACACGUGCUACAAUGGACGGUACAACGAGUCGCGAAGUCGUGAGGCUAAGCUAAUCUCUUAAAGCCGUUCUCAGUUCGGAUUGUAGGCUGCAACUCGCCUACAUGAAGUUGGAAUCGCUAGUAAUCGCGGAUCAGCAUGCCGCGGUGAAUACGUUCCCGGGCCUUGUACACACCGCCCGUCACACCAUGAGAGUUUGUAACACCCAAAGCCGGUGAGAUAACCUUCGGGAGUCAGCCGUCUAAGGUGGGACAGAUGAUUAGGGUGAAGUCGUAAGCAGUGUGCAUCAUCCC